AAGGUGAUGAUACGUAGCCGAGUUGAGAGUUGAUCGGCCACAAUGGGACUGAGACACGGCCCAUACUCCUACGGGAGGCAGCAGUAGGGAAUCUUCCACAAUGGGCGCAAGCCUGAUGGAGCAACGCCGCGUGAAUGAAGAAGGUCUUCGGAUCGUAAANUUCUGUUGUUAGAGAAGAANAUGAGUAAUAGUAACUGNUNAUNCGNUGACGGUAUCUAACCAGCAAGUCACGGCUAACUACGUGCCAGCAGCCGCGGUAAUACGUAGGUGGCAAGCGUUGUCCGGAUUUAUUGGGCGUAAAGGGAACGCAGGCGGUUUUUUAAGUCUGAUGUGAAAGCCUUCGGCUUAACCGGAGAUGUGCAUUGGAAACUGGAANACUUGAGUGCAGAAGAGGAGAGUGGAACUCCAUGUGUAGCGGUGAAAUGCGUAGAUAUAUGGAAGAACACCAGUGGCGAAAGCGGCUCUCUGGUCUGUAACUGACGCUGAGGUUCGAAAGCAUGGGUAGCGAACAGGAUUAGAUACCCUGGUAGUCCANGCCGUAAACGAUGAAUGCUAGGUGUUGGAGGGUUUCCGCCCUUCAGUGCCGCAGCUAACGCAAUAAGCAUUCCGCCUGGGGAGUACGACCGCAAGGUUGAAACUCAAAGGAAUUGACGGGGGCCCGCACAAGCGGUGGAGCAUGUGGUUUAAUUCGAAGCAACGCGAAGAACCUUACCAGGUCUUGACAUCUUUUGACCACCUAAGAGAUUAGGUUUUCCCUUCGGGGACAAAAUGACAGGUGGUGCAUGGCUGUCGUCAGCUCGUGUCGUGAGAUGUUGGGUUAAGUCCCGCAACGAGCGCAACCCUUGUUGUCAGUUGCCAUCAUUCAGUUGGGCACUCUGGCGAGACUGCCGGUGANAAACCGGAGGAAGGUGGGGAUGACGUCAAGUCAUCAUGCCCCUUAUGACCUGGGCUACACACGUGCUACAAUGGACGAUACAACGAGUCGCGAGACCGCGAGGUUAAGCUAAUCUCUUAAAGUCGUUCUCAGUUCGGAUUGCAGGCUGCAACUCGCCUGCAUGAAGUCGGAAUCGCUAGUAAUCGCGGAUCAACAU
rnacentral:rRNA from 1 species